rnacentral:rRNA from 1 species
CCAAAAACAUCUCUCUUUGUAUAAUAUAAAUAAAGAGUUGGGCCUGCUCGGUGAAACGUUUUAACAGCUGCGGUAUUUUAACUGUACUAAGGUAGCAUAAUAAUUUGCCUUAUAAUUUGAGGCUAGAAUGAAUGGUUUGACGAAGGUUAAUCUGUCUCUGCUUUAUUUUUUAGAAAUUAAUUUUCAUAGUGAAAAAGCUUGAAUUUCUUAAGGGGACGAGAAGACCCUACUGAGCUUAUAAUUUUAUUAUCACAUAUAUUUAUGUAUAAUGUGCUAUAUAAAUUUUAAUUGGGGUGAUUAAGGAAUAAUAUAGCUAUUUUAUAACUUCCUUAGAUAUUAUAUUGUUGAAUUAAGUAACCGAUUAAUUAAUAGAAUUGUAUUAUGUAUUGCUUAUAAUAUAGUUACCAUAGGGAUAACAGCGUAAUUUACUUAGAGAGUUCUUAUUGAAAAAGUAUAGG